rnacentral:rRNA from 4 species
UAGACCGCCUGGGGAGUACGGCCGCAAGGUUAAAACUCAAAUGAAUUGACGGGGGCCCGCACAAGCGGUGGAGCAUGUGGUUUAAUUCGAUGCAACGCGAAGAACCUUACCUGGUCUUGACAUCCACGGAAGUUUUCAGAGAUGAGAAUGUGCCUUCGGGAACCGUGAGACAGGUGCUGCAUGGCUGUCGUCAGCUCGUGUUGUGAAAUGUUGGGUUAAGUCCCGCAACGAGCGCAACCCUUAUCCUUUGUUGCCAGCGAUUAGGUCGGGAACUCAAAGGAGACUGCCAGUGAUAAACUGGAGGAAGGUGGGGAUGACGUCAAGUCAUCAUGGCCCUUACGACCAGGGCUACACACGUGCUACAAUGGCGCAUACAAAGAGAAGCGACCUCGC